rnacentral:tRNA from 1 species
GAAGGUAUAGCUCAAGUGGUAGAGCACAUGCUCAGCAUGCACGAGGUCCUGGGUUCAAUCCCUAGUACCUCCU